rnacentral:tRNA from 1 species
GCGAGAGUGGCGGAAUUGGUAGACGCACCGGCUUUAGGCGCCGGCAGCUUCGGCUGUAGGGGUUCAACUCCCCUCUCUCGCACCA